rnacentral:tRNA from 1 species
GCCCGGGUGGUGGAAUCUGGUAGACACAUACGUUUGAGGGGCGUAGGGCUUCGGCCGUGGGGGUUCGAAUCCCCCCCCGGGCA